rnacentral:tRNA from 1 species
GGCGACGGGGCGUGGACGGGAAGGUCGGUAUUUGAUGGAGCCGACUGUGCCGAUUCGUUGCGCGUCCUGCUAUUUCGUAAACAGCAGGUCCUCGGUUCAAAUCCGAGUGUCGGCUCCA